rnacentral:rRNA from 1 species
GUGUCAGCAGCCGCGGUAAUACGUAGGGACCAAGCGUUGUUCGGAUUUACUGGGCGUAAAGGGCGCGUAGGCGGCCCUACAAGUCACUUGUGAAAUCUCUGGGCUUAACUCAGAACGGCCAAGUGAAACUGUAGAGCUAGAGUGUGGAAGGGGCAAUCGGAAUUCUUGGUGUAGCGGUGAAAUGCGUAGAUAUCAAGAGGAACACCUGAGGUGAAGACGGGUUGCUGGGCCAACACUGACGCUGAGGCGCGAAAGCCAGGGGAGCAAACGGGAUUAGAAACCCCCGUAGUCC